UUUACGUGCAUACACAGGGGGCUGAAGGUUCUAGGCAGAUAACUAGUGUCACGACAACAUUCUCCCUGCCUCCUGCUUUUAUGCACCUGAAGUUUGGGGGUUCAAGUUAAUGGACCGGGGCUUGACUUUGAAAUGGCUUGAAACUUUCCUACUGGACUGGAGUUGGAAUCUCAGGAAAUCAGUCCCAGGUGCUUUUGGGAGUCCAAUGGAGCUACCUGAAAUGGGUGGCAUUGUAGCCUGCAGGGACCUAGUUCCUCUAAUACCCUGUUGGAAUGCCUGUAAGCAAUGAUUAGCUCAAAAGAGGAGGAUUCAC